GAGAAUCACAACAGCAUCUUUGAACCUUCAGAUUUUAUACAAGAAUCCAAGGUGCCAGAAAGACAAGCAAUUGGGUUGGAGCAGAGUUUGACCAACAGGCACUGAUUCUCAAGUUCAGAUCUCUUGAACAAGACAAAUAAAGAUCCCCUGACCUAUCAAAAGACAGCAGAGACUUUGGGAGAGUCAGAGGAAAAAGACCCAAUAGGAGAAUCCUUAUCAGGUACCGUUGAUAACUGACUGCUGUUAAAGUACAAACACCAGCGGAUCCACAAAAAUCACAGCUGUGACAACGCCGGAAACAUCAGUACUCAAAAAUUGUUUUUAUGUACAGUUGGAAUUUGACAGGUUGAUUUUCUCUUUGAAAUACAUUUCCUUGGAUUUUAUUGGCAAUGUUUUGUUUUGGACUUGCAUUGAUGAGCUUUUUCUGUGUGUUGACACCAACCGAUUGUCUUCAUGAAAGUUAUUUUAAACCGUCAUUAAGUUUUGUUGUCUUGUCAAUGUCCCAUGGAUUUGCUUCUGCAAUCAAUCAAUCAGAUUGUUGGGUUUGUGGUUUUAUUUCAGUUAGUACUCCCGCAUACAAUCACGUUACUGUUCCUUGUACUGUGAGAGAUUAUCUUACUGUUUGGAAUAUUACAAAGUCUGCAUUUCCCCAGUCUAAUGCAAAGAUUCUCUGUAAAUCAGUUUCUGGAAAGAAUGAAGCCACCACAUUGGCCUAUGCAACAAAUGGUUUGUUGUGUUUUGAAAGCAACAGCACUGCGCUUCACUUGAGCAAGAGUGUUUGUAACUUUGAUUUGUCACACUUGAAUGAUUUUAUUGCAACGGUUACUACUAAUGACACUAAUGCUUUUUCACCACACAUUCGUAACAUAACCCAACAUACUGCAAACAAAACAAUGUUUAAUUGUGGGGAAAAUGCAGAUCAUCAUUUACCUGCCAACUGGUCAGGAUUGUGCUAUUUUGCUUAGGUUGAACCCGCAUUGCGAUCAGCCCCAAGCCCAGUUCAUAAUAAUAUCACAAGUGAAAACACCGAUUCUACACAAACAUUCUUUACCGUAUUGUUCCCUAAUUAUAGAAAAACAGGAGAAUUAGACAAAAUAUGGAAAGUUAUUUUCACAGUGGAUCAAAUUGUCAGUAGUACAUCUCGGUCACUCCGUCGCUUAAACAGUGAAUGUGCCAGUUGGAAAAAUUCCUUUUCAAAAUGGAACGACCAAAGACCUUCCUGUGGCUGGACAAGGAAGGAUUUAUCCUGAAAAUGGUGAAAUAUGUUGUAGCUUUGUUCCAGAGGUAUUGCCUGAAGCAUCUGCAAUUAAUGGGUGGUGUAACUUUUUCAAUUUGGAAAUUAACGGUUAUCAAGAUGCGAGCCUAAAUCCAGGGUUAAUCGCCUUUAUUGUCACUGUCAUCAUCUUAGUCCUUCUCAUCCCAUUUUGUGUGAGAUUCCGUCAUAAAAUUUUACAAUAUUUUAGAAAAGAUGGUUUUAAAAUACAAAGAGGUUCACAGUUAAAACGUUGAUUUUUUACAUUUGCACAAUUAAUUUAUGUGUUCAUUACACAUACUUGUACUGUAUGUAUUAAUUACAAUCAAAGGGAUUGGUGGGGGUUGUAGGAGUGUGGAUCGUUGUUAUCCAUUUGAUGACUAUGUAUGUGCCUAUUCAUUUUGUUCAUUACUUCUCAUGUAACCUGUUUGUGAUGUUUAUCAAGAAAGUAUAUACUGAACUUAUUGAAUAAUCUGUUUGAUAGCAAACAAUAUAUUUAUUUAGGUUUUGCUAUGUGUGUAAGAUUCCAAACAUUCAUAUUAAAGUACACCAUUAAAACAUUUG